rnacentral:sRNA from 3 species
GGUUGCAACAUCCCCGUGGGUUGGGCGAGAGCCGUAGUGAAAGGCUGGAGCAGCGAAUCCACUGCAACC